rnacentral:rRNA from 1 species
GAUGAACGCUGGCGGCGUGCCUAAUACAUGCAAGUCGAGCGAACGGACGAGAAGCUUGCUUCUCUGAUGUUAGCGGCGGACGGGUGAGUAACACGUGGAUAACCUACCUAUAAGACUGGGAUAACUUCGGGAAACCGGAGCUAAUACCGGAUAAUAUUUUGAACCGCAUGGUUCAAAAGUGAAAGACGGUCUUGCUGUCACUUAUAGAUGGAUCCGCGCUGCAUUAGCUAGUUGGUAAGGUAACGGCUUACCAAGGCAACGAUGCAUAGCCGACCUGAGAGGGUGAUCGGCCACACUGGAACUGAGACGCGGUCCAGACUCCUACGGGAGGCAGCAGUAGGGAAUCUUCCGCAAUGGGCGGAAGCCUGACGGAGCAACGCCGCGUGAGUGACGAAGGUCUUCGGAUCGUAAAACUCUGUUAUUAGGGAAGAACAUAUGUGUAAGUAACUGUGCACAUCUUGACGGUACCUAAUCAGAAAGCCACGGCUAACUACGUG